AGCAGGGAUUCCACCUGGCAGCUUGCAGGGCUGGGAAUCUGUGAGUGUGAGGGUGGCUGCAGAGGACACAAACUGCGGGACACAGACACGAACACGCAUUCCUGGGAUCUCCUUCUCUUCCCAUCCUUUUCUGCCAUUCUGUGCAUUCCUGUGCACACGCUCAGGCUGCCACACAGCCCCAUCAUGCUCCGUGAGAGCACUGAACUCUCCCACCUACUGAACUCCCACCUGCUCGUGCACACCCACGCUCACAGCCAGCAGGAAGCCAGAGGAGCAGAGCACAUGCACCUCAUGGCUGCCUGCAGGUGUCAUUCCCCACCGCUCCCGGACAGCCAACUGCCUUGUCACAUUUCAGACUCCCUCUCCCUCCCCUGCCCACCCACUGAGAGACGCAUCUCUUCCUCUCCUCCUCUCCUCUUUGCACAUCUCCGUGUCUGUGCUGUCACCAGGCCCAGGUUGCUGGAAGGAGGUGGCCUUUCUCUAUGGAUUUCCCCCGGUUCCUUGUGGCCAUCCUGCUGCCUGUGGGCUGGGCCCUUCAGCAAUCACCAGAUACAGUCGUCCGGGAGGGAGACCCUGUGACUCUGGAAUGUUCUGGAUCAGGGAGUGCAGUGAGGCCCAUGUACUGGUACAAGUUGCCCAUGGAGAAGGGUGCCAGCAUGCAGUUGGUUGUAUACUCAGUGGAAGGUGGCAAAGCAGAUAUUGAGAAGGAAUUCAGAAAUCGCUUCCAGAGUAAUGGGACUCGGAACAACCGUUUAUCUGUGAAGAUAGAUCAUGCCCUACUCAAUGACUCGGGCACAUAUUUCUGUGCUGAACAAGAUCCACAGUGACUCAAAGGCUGGUGCAGCACAGCACAAACCUUUCCAGGCAAACAGGGAUCUGCCACCAGCACACACUGAGC